UGUCCGUAGAAAAGAACCCUAACUGAUCAAGUGAGAGUCUCCUUUUCCUCAGAAACAUGUUCACCUUUCUAAGCCCCAUAUCUCCCUAGAAGGUCAUUCGUCCCAUCCCAGCAUUGCCUCCCUCAUCUCACCGGAGAUACAUUCAACUUGUAUGGUCAUCCUCUCUUUGCCAAUAUUUGUUUUUUGUCUUCAAAAUCUAGUAACUCUUCAUCUCCUAUGGUUCAUUUCCAAAGCCCUCCAUCCGACUCUGUUAACCUUGCUUCUUGUUCUAGACCUUUGUAGAUCGAAUGGAUCCACCUUUCUUUUGUUUCGUUCCUCCUCUACCACGGAGAACUCCAACGCCUCUCCUACCAGCAAACAAAUAGAUGCAACUGUCAUUACCCCUUUUUUAAUGCUUUAAUGUCUUCAAUGUAAGAUCCAGUAACCGAUAUGUUGUCAUCGGUGGAGUUCACUUUCCUUACUAUAGUGAGGGAAUCACCUUCAAUCACCAUCUCUCUACACCUUAGAUCUAGACCGAUCUGGGUCGCUUGAAGGUAUGCAAUCGCCUCAGUCGCAAAAGUCAAUGGUAUAUGGUCAUUCAUGAUGUAUUAAUACAUUAAUUACUAAUUCUAAAUUAUUAAACAUUCUAAAUAACUCAUCAAUGCACCUUUUGGAUUUGUAUUA